rnacentral:tRNA from 1 species
UCCCACAUGGUCUAGCAGUCAGGACUCCUGGCUUUCACCCAGACGGCCCGGGUUCGACUCCCGGGAUGGGAA